rnacentral:lncRNA from 1 species
CACUUCUCUCCGCCAUCAUUCCAGACCCUCCUCUAACCCUAAAUCACCUUUGCCUCCAAAACAAAACAAAAGAAUAAAAUUACAAAAUGUAUCAGCUCAUCAAAUUCAACAAAUUUCUCUUCCAUCAAUCCAAUCAUCAGACACAACAACUAUUUCGACGGAAAAAAUGAAGGUUGCCGGAUGAACAACCACCGUUCAAGCUCCACCGUCACCAUAUUUAUACAUCAUAUGUCAAAAAAUAUAAAAUAAAAAAAAAAAUAAAAAAGACAAAAACAACAAAUUUAAUAUGCAGCUGUGCAGUUUGAAUUGGGAAAACAAAUGAAUCAAAUUUCAACAAUGUUUCGCACUCCAACCAAAUUAGAACCUAAACAGAACCAAGUUAAAUAUUUCAAACAUUUAUUAUUAUAGGAAAAUCAACAAUCCAACUGGAGAAUUGAAAGAAAAUUAUUUUGAUUACAAGGAUCUUAUCAACAACCGAUUCUUCUUCAUUGUUUGUAUAUUCCGGAAAUUUUGAUAAAUGGCUCAUUCGAAUUUACUCAACUUUUAUAAAUACAGAAGAUGAGUUUGAAGGGGAUUGGUCGGAAGGGGUUUUUUGACAUCGGAAGAUGAAGUUAGAGGUUGUGGGGAGGGGAGGAGGAGGAGGAGGAGAAAUGAACGCUGG